rnacentral:hammerhead_ribozyme from 1 species
GCACUGCUGAGCAGUCCCACAAUAGGUCGAAACGACCGUCCAGUGC